rnacentral:rRNA from 1 species
GACGAACGCUGGCGGCGUGCUUAACACAUGCAAGUCGAACGCUGAACCCGCUUCGGUGGGGGAUGAGUGGCGAACGGGUGAGUAACACGUGGGCAACCUGCCCCCGGCUCUGGGAUAACUCCAAGAAAUUGGGGCUAAUACCGGAUGUGACCGCUGGCCGCAUGGUCUGGUGGUGGAAAGGGUUUCCGGCUGGGGAUGGGCCCGCGGCCUAUCAGCUUGUUGGUGGGGUAGUGGCCUACCAAGGCGACGACGGGUAGCCGGCCUGAGAGGGUGACCGGCCACACUGGGACUGAGACACGGCCCAGACUCCUACGGGAGGCAGCAGUGGGGAAUAUUGCGCAAUGGGCGGAAGCCUGACGCAGCGGCGCCGCGUGGGGGAUGACGGCCUUCGGGUUGUAAACCUCUUUCAGCAGGGACGAAGCGCAAGUGACGGUACCUGCAGAAGAAGCACCGGCCAACUACGUG